UACGUAGGGUGCAAGCGUUGUUCGGAAUUAUUGGGCGUAAAGAGCUCGUAGGCGGUUUGUCGCGUCUGCUGUGAAAACCCGAGGCUCAACCUCGGGCCUGCAGUGGGUACGGGCAGACUAGAGUGCGGUAGGGGAGAUUGGAAUUCCUGGUGUAGCGGUGGAAUGCGCAGAUAUCAGGAGGAACACCGGUGGCGAAGGCGGGUCUCUGGGCCGAUACUGACACUGAGGAGCGAAAGCGUGGGGAGCGAACAGG
rnacentral:rRNA from 1 species